AUACGGAGGGUGCAAGCGUUAAUCGGAAUUACUGGGCGUAAAGCGCGCGUAGGCGGCUGAUUAAGUCGGAUGUGAAAUCCCUGGGCUCAACCUAGGAACUGCAUCCGAUACUGGUCAGCUAGAGUUUUGGAGAGGUAAGUGGAAUUUCCGGUGUAGCGGUGAAAUGCAUAGAGAUCGGAAGGAACACCAGUGGCGAAGGCGACUUACUGGCCAAAAACUGACGCUGCGGUGCGAAAGCGUGGGUAGCGAACAGGAUUAGAAACCCUAGUAGUCC
rnacentral:rRNA from 1 species